AGAGUUUGAUCCUGGCUCAGGAUGAACGCUGGCGGCGUGCUUAACACAUGCAAGUCGAACGAACCUUCGGGUUAGUGGCGGACGGGUGAGUAACGCGUGAGAAUCUGCCCUCAGGAGGGGGAUAACGGCUGGAAACGGCCGCUAAUACCCCAUAUGCCGAGAGGUGAAAUGAAUUUCGCCUGAGGAUGAGCUCGCGUCUGAUUAGCUAGUUGGUGGGGUAAGAGCCUACCAAGGCUUCGAUCAGUAGCUGGUCUGAGAGGAUGAUCAGCCACACUGGGACUGAGACACGGCCCAGACUCCUACGGGAGGCAGCAGUGGGGAAUUUUCCGCAAUGGGCGAAAGCCUGACGGAGCAACGCCGCGUGAGGGAUGAAGGCCUCUGGGCUGUAAACCUCUUUUCUCAAGGAAGAAGAUCUGACGGUACUUGAGGAAUAAGCCACGGCUAAUUCCGUGCCAGCAGCCGCGGUAAUACGGGAGUGGCAAGCGUUAUCCGGAAUUAUUGGGCGUAAAGCGUCCGCUGGCGGCCUUGAAAGUCUGCUGUUAAAGCGUGGAGCUUAACUCCAUUUCAGCAGUGGAAACUACAAGGCUAGAGUGUGGUAGGGGCAGAGGGAAUUCCCGGUGUAGCGGUGAAAUGCGUAGAUAUCGGGAAGAACACCAGUGGCGAAGGCGCUCUGCUGGGCCAUAACUGACGCUCAUGGACGAAAGCCAGGGGAGCGAAAGGGAUUAGAUACCCCUGUAGUCCUGGCCGUAAACGAUGAACACUAGGUGUCGGGGGAAUCGACCCCUCCGGUGCCGUAGCCAACGCGUUAAGUGUUCCGCCUGGGGAGUACGCACGCAAGUGUGAAACUCAAAGGAAUUGACGGGGGCCCGCACAAGCGGUGGAGUAUGUGGUUUAAUUCGAUGCAACGCGAAGAACCUUACCAGGGUUUGACAUCCUGCGAAUCCCUUGGAAACGAGGGAGUGCCUUCGGGAGCGCAGUGACAGGUGGUGCAUGGCUGUCGUCAGCUCGUGUCGUGAGAUGUUGGGUUAAGUCCCGCAACGAGCGCAACCCACGUCUUUAGUUGCCAGCAUUGAGUUGGGCACUCUAGAGAGACCGCCGGUGAUAAACCGGAGGAAGGUGUGGAUGACGUCAAGUCAUCAUGCCCCUUACAUCCUGGGCUACACACGUACUACAAUGCUACGGACAAAGGGCAGCAAACUCGCGAGAGCUAGCAAAUCCCAUAAACCGUGGCUCAGUUCAGAUCGUAGGCUGCAACUCGCCUACGUGAAGGAGGAAUCGCUAGUAAUCGCAGGUCAGCAUACUGCGGUGAAUACGUUCCCGGCCUUGUACACACCGCCCGUCACACCAUGGAAGUUGGCCACGCCCGAAGUCGUUACUCCAACCCGCAAGGGAGGAGG
rnacentral:rRNA from 1 species